CCCGCUGAACUUAAGCAUAUCAGUAAGCGGAGGAAAAGAAACUAACAAGGAUUCCCCUAGUAACGGCGAGUGAAGCGGGAAGAGCUCAAAUUUAAAAACCGGCGGUUUCACCGUCCGAGUUGUAAUCUGGAGAAGUGUUUUCCGUGUCGGACCGUGUACAAGUCUCUUGGAACAGAGCGUCAUAGAGGGUGAGAAUCCCGUCUUUGACACGGACUACCGAUGCUAUGUGAUGCACUCUCGAAGAGUCGAGUUGUUUGGGAAUGCAGCUCAAAAUGGGUGGUAAAUUCCAUCUAAAGCUAAAUAUUGGCGAGAGACCGAUAGCGAACAAGUACCGUGAGGGAAAGAUGAAAAGCACUUUGGAAAGAGAGUUAUACAGUACGUGAAAUUGUUGAAAGGGAAACGAUUGUUGUUAAUCGCGUCUUCCCAGUUUCAGCAGGGUUUCUUCUCGGUGUAGUAAAACGUCUUUGCCUCAGCUUCAACAUUCCUCGGUGGGUUUGGGCGGGAGGCUUAAAACACCACGCGGAAGGUGUCUUAGUUUUUUAAGAUCAUCGUCCUGAUAGACACGGGUAGCACAUGCCGCUUGGCCAAGAGCAACAAUAGAUGUAUAACUUUAGUAUAUCAUCAUGCAUUUGAUCAUCGACCCGUCUUGAAACACGG
rnacentral:rRNA from 1 species